rnacentral:rRNA from 1 species
AUUGAACGCUGGCGGAAUGCUUUACACAUGCAAGUCGAACGGCAGCACGGGGGCAACCCUGGUGUCGAGUGGCGAACGGGUGAGUAAUACAUCGGAACGUGCCCAGUCGUGGGGGAUAACGUAGCGAAAGUUACGCUAAUACCGCAUACGAUCUACGGAUGAAAGCGGGGGACCGUAAGGCCUCGCGCGAUUGGAGCGGCCGAUGUCAGAUUAGGUAGUUGGGGAGGUAAAGGCUCACCAAGCCGACGAUCUGUAGCUGGUCUGAGAGGACGACCAGCCACACUGGGACUGAGACACGGCCCAGACUCCUACGGGAGGCAGCAGUGGGGAAUUUUGGACAAUGGGCGCAAGCCUGAUCCAGCCAUUCCGCGUGCAGGACGAAGGCCUUCGGGUUGUAAACUGCUUUUGUACGGAACGAAAAGGCUCUGGUUAAUACCUGGGGCUCAUGACGGUACCGUAAGAAUAAGCACCGGCUAACUACGUGCCAGCCGCCGCAGUAA